UGGCGGACGGGUGAGUAAUGCCUGGGAAACUAGCCUGAUGGAGGGGGAUAACUACUGGAAACGGUAGCUAAUACCGCAUAACGUCGCAAGACCAAAGAGGGGGACCUUCGGGCCUCUUGCCAUCGGAUGUGCCCAGAUGGGAUUAGCUAGUAGGUGGGGUAACGGCUCACCUAGGCGACGAUCCCUAGCUGGUCUGAGAGGAUGACCAGCCACACUGGAACUGAGACACGGUCCAG
rnacentral:rRNA from 1 species